rnacentral:lncRNA from 1 species
AACCACAUACAAACAAUUUAAUAGACAUCCAUCAAACAAAGCACAUCAUCAACACAUACACAAAUUUGCAUGCAUGCAAGGGUAAUUUUUUUAGGGAUACAUCCCAAUCAUUAACAUGGACCAAUUCACAUGGCCAUAUGCAAAAUAAUUAAUACUCAAAUGAGCCAUUACAUUGGCUACUUCAACAUGACACAUAUACACAAAAUAGACAAAUUUCCUAUACAUGCCAUGACCAAAAUAAUUAAACCAAUUAUACCAAAAUUUCUUGAAGAUAGUGUGAUCCGAGCUCCGACGUCCCCCGAUCCUUUGAGCUAGCUUGACGUAUCUAAAGAGGCGGGAAAAGAGAGGAGAGUAAGCUAUAAAGCUUUAAGUACAUAUACUAAUAAACUACAUUUUUCAUGAAUUAAUAAUUUAAGCAUGAAUACUUAUAACAUCUUCAUACUUUACAUCAUAUCAUAUAUAUAUAACUUACCUUUCACAUUCAUAUACACAUGCUCACCCAAAUACAUACCUGUUUAUAAUAUCAUCAUGUACCAAGUACUCAUAGCGUUUUAGUACAUACCUGUGCCGUCUUGAAUACACAUGGUUUACCUAAAUUACUUUCAAAAUUCAUAGUACGUUACUCGUUGAACACAUGGAAUAUGAUUCGGAUACACGAAAGAAAUGCAUCGAAGUGCCUGAAUGUAGCCUUGGCUACCUGAUAGAAUAUGCACCGAAGUGCCUCAUAUUACAGAAUAACAUGCCACUCUCAACGAGGGCUACUCAAAGAGAUAAAGAGUAUCCGAACACAACUCAAGAUACCCAGCACCCUGACCCUAGCAUGUAUCACAUAUCAAAUGAGCUCAUAAAACACAUAGCUAUCCCAGUGACAUGUCACUUGUAUCCUCCACUAUUCCUAAGGUUCAAACGGGAUUUCUGACUUCCAAACCUUAGCCGGACGUACUGGAAUUGUGGCUUCAUUCACAUAACAAUUUUCUUAUAGUUAUAUAGCAUAGCAAUAUUCUCAUUAUAAUAGCAAAACAUCAAAACAUGAUACACUAUCAAAAUAGCCAAUUUAAGCAUAUUAAGCAUACAAAUAUCAAACAAACAUUUGUUAGCAAUAAUUAAUGUAUUUAGUAGCAUAUGCACUUAUCUCAAUACAAAAUAUUAGAGAACGAGCCUAAACCUCGUAAACCUUGUUCUUCCCUCGAUCAAGACCCGUAUCUCGAUUCUCUUGAUCUAUAAUACCAAACUUAGCUCAUUUAAUACAUGCAUUACUCAAAACGACCCAAAAUUCAUUACUCAAAAUGACCCAAAAUUCAUACUUGGGUAAAAUUACUAUUUUACCCAUAAACUUUCAUAUAUUUUCAAUUUAAUCUCUAGGCUCGGAUAAUGAAAUGCAUGGGAUUUCUUGGUUACCCAAGUCUAGCCAAAUAUUUUUCAUGCUCAUAACAGCCCACAUUUUCCUUCAUUUCACAUUUUUCUACUCAUUUUUUACAACUGUUACAAAAAUGGUCCUAAAAGUCCUUUCCAUGAAAAAUUACUUAGUAAAAGUUUUUUACCAUCCUUUAAACUCUCAUAUCCCUCCAUAAAUCAUCAAAACAUAAGCUUCUCAUGCAUGGGUAAAUUUCUAAACAUGAACCCUAGCAUGGAAUAUGGGUGGAAAUAGAGACCAAGUUACUGGGAUUUCAAAAAUACGAAGAACAUUAAAAACGAGGCUUGGGAACACUUAUUAUGAGCUUGGAAAGGAUGAACAAACCCUAGCUAUAGUGUCUCUCCAUUUUUGGCAGCAAGAUGGAGGAGAUGAGCUAAUUUUUGGCUUAUUUUCCCAUUUUAUUUCAUUAAUAUACGAAAUGAACAAAAUGCCCCUUAAUACUAAACCUUCAAAAAUUUCCAUCCAUGCCCAUUUUUGUCCAAAAACUUAGAAAUUUGGAAAAUUACUCUUUAAGGACCUCUAAUUAACAUUCCAAAGAAAUUUCAUACAAAUUGCUUCUAGAACCCAAGUUUUUCAAUUUAUUCAAUUUGGUCUUUAAUUUCCAAUUGGACACCUUACACAUAGAAUUUCUUCAUGAAACUUUAACACAUUCUUAUUUUCAUAUCCUAAACCUUAUAAUAAUCAUAAAAUAAUUAUUUUAAUGUCAAAUUUGUGGUCCAAAACCACUAUUCUGACUAUGCCCUAAUUCGAGAUGUACAAUAAGGACAAAAAAUAUGGAAUAAUAGUAUGUAAAUUGUGUUAAAUUUGAAUGAAUUAAUGAUUAAAUAAGUAAAUUUUGUUAUUAUAUAGAUUGAGAAAAAUGAGAUUCGGAUCUAGAACGGGAGAAAAUAAAGUAUCAGACUAGUUGAUCUGUUCUGUCAUUUUAACGAUCGAGGUAAGUUCGUAUGCAAUAAGCAUUGUUAUAUUUAUGCUUUUAAUGAUUUGAUAUCCUAUAAAUUGUAUAUACGUGGCUAUUGUUAUGUUUGAUGACAUAUCGGCUAAAUAUGGCACUCAAUGUGCGGUUCGGUAUAGCUUCAGCUAAAUUUGGCAUUUAGUGUGCGAUUUGAGAUAGCUUCAGCUAUGUACAACACUUAGUGUGUUGGACAUCAAAUAUGGCACUUAGUGUGCGAAAUAUUGAGAAUGACACUUAGUGUGCGAGAUAUUGAGAAUGACACUUAGUGUGCAAAAAAAUCGAAUGAUUCAACGGGAAUAGUCAAGACUAGAGUUUAAGUACGGUUGGAAUAAGUAAUACAAAUACGUACAGAACUUAUGUGAGAAUCGAAUGAAAGUAAAUUGGUAAGUUUAUAUUGUAUUAUGUAUAUUAAAUAAGAAAGAAUUGAGUAUAAGUAUGUUUCAUGUCAAACUGUGUUUAUUUGACUAUAAUGAAGUAUAUAUUGAAUGUUAUGUGAGAUAUGAAUAAUAGUUGUUUAAACUAAAUAUACAUAUAGCAAUCGACUAAUAAGACCAUAAUCAGGUUAUGGCAAGUGAAAGAAAGACCACAGUAAGGCCUUGGCAAUGUAUGUGUAAGACUAUAGUUAGACUAUGGCAUCGAAAAAUCAAUGAAUUUGUAUCAUAAGUAAUAAUAAACCAGAGAGGUUUGAUAAUAGUAUGGGUAGUAAAUAGAAAGGUAUCAGUACAGGUAUGUACGAAAAACUACUCAAGUAUUGAGUUAUAUGAAGUUGAGAACUUGCGAAUGAGGACAUGAAUAAUUUGAUGUUAGCUCAUGAAUUGAUGCUUUAAAUGUUAAUGAUUUAUCUAUUUUGAAUUGCUAUAUGAAUGUUGCGAUCAUUUUAGGCUCAUAUACGAACUCACAAGCUGUGAAGCUUACUUUGUUAUUUUUCUAUGUUUUAUAGUGUCUCGGACGUUCGCUCGAGUUAGGAGUCAAUGGAAAUCGUAUCACACUAUCCGAGUAUUAAUUAUCAGUAUUUUACACCUUGUGGCUUGGUUUUAUGGCAUGUAUAGGCUAGUGAGUUGAUGAUAUGUUUUAAUGUAUAAUAAAGUCAUAAGAUUUGGCUUGCUUUUGGCUUGUAAAUGUUAGUAUGUAUUUGGCCAUUUAAGUUGGCUUAAAUUAUGUAUUGGAUAAGUGUUAUAUGUGAUUUAUAAUGUCUUAUGUUUUGGACAUUGUUCGCCAUGGUUGUUGAUAUGAUUAAAUGGUUACUCAUUUGGUUAGUUAUUAAUGUUUGAGGAAUAGUAUAUUCUAAUAUGAUUAUAGAUGAUGAUAAGGUGUGUGUUGACACAUUAUAUAGAUGAUAAUUUGAUGAGUAAAUGCAUUUAGUAGUUUUGUGAGAUUGAUGAUUGUGGCAUAUUGAUUUGAUAUGUUUUUUAAUAUAGAAUUGAGUAAUUGAAAUGGUUGUGCAUAGAUGGCAUGUUAUGUGUAUGAAAUAACAUGUUUUGGUUGCUAAAAUGUGUAUGGAAAUGAUACCAAAUUGGCUGCUAUGUGUGCAUGAGAGAAGGGUGGCAAAUUGGCUUUAUAAAUGCCUAUUUUUUUCUACACGGGCAGAGACAUGGUCGUGUGUCUCAGCCGUGUGCGACACAUGGUCAUGCUACAUGGGCAUGUGUUUCUUGGGGUACCCUUUGAAUUUAAGUCAGUAUACCCUAUAGGUUUGACACGGCCUAGACACACGGGCGUGUCUACUGGUUGUGUGUGGCACACGGGCGUGUGGCCAAGUUAGUAACCCCUCUAGAUUUCACACGGCCUGACACACGGGCGUGUCCUUGGCCGUAUGGUACAAGCCAGUAUGUAUGCCUUGUUUUCACACAGCCUGUGACACGGGCGUAUCUGGUACUCGUGUGAGGCACACGGCUUGUUCACACCGGCGUGUGACCCUUAAAUGUUUGAAAAUUUUUUAAGUUUCCCAAAGUUUGAAAAUAUUAUCGGUUUAGUCUCAAACCACUUCUAAGCAUGUUUUAAGGCCUCGAAAAGCCUUACAAGGGAUAUUGUGAAUGUUUUGAAUGGAUUUUGAGUAUGAAUGCAUAAAUGUAUAUGUUAUGUAUGUGAACGAUGUGUAUUGAUCGGUAAUACCUCGUAACUCUAUUCUAGUGACAGAUACAGGUUAGGGGUGUUACACGCAACACAUGCUGGACUACCUCGCCAUCAAUAAAAUAUACGAGACCAGUACCGGAGGCCAAAACAUGUGUCACAAAUUUCACGAACUCAAACCACAACUCAAUGAGUUUGGAUGUCACAUAUAUCAUGAACUCAGACCACAACUCAAUGAGUUCAGAUUACAUAAUUCCUAGUGACAUUCACUUGUAUCCUAACUAUUCCUAAGGUUCAAAUGGGAUUCUUUGAUAGAACAUUUCUGUUGAGCUUACUCAGAAUGUCGAUUCCAAUAUUCAUGGCACAAAUCACAUACUCAUGAAAUAAUCAAAGUAUAUUUCACGAUAAAAUUUAGGCAAUAAACACAUAAUACAACAACAUAUCAAUUAUGUAAGUAUUUAUCAUACAUGUAAUAUUAAAGCAUUCAAAGUAUGGUACAUGUUGCAUUAUUUGCAAAUGAACUUACCUCGAUACAAAAAAUGAUAGAAACGAGCCUAAUCCUCGUAAACCUUGUUUUUCUCCCGAUCAAGACCCGAAUCACGUUUUUCUUGAUCUAUAAUACCAAAUUCAACUUGUUCAAUACAUACAUUGCUCAUAUCGACCCAAAACACAUACUUUGGUAAAAUUAACUUUUUACCCCUAACUUUUUGCUUAUUUACACUUUAAUCCCUAGGCCCGUAAAAUGAAAUGCAUGCAAUUUCUUGGUUACCCAAGCCUAGCCGAAUCAUAUUCUAUCUCAUAUCAGCCCAUAUUUUCCUUUAUUUCACAUUUCUACUACUCAUUUUUACACCUUUUACAAACAAGCCCUUUUUAGGUGUUUGCACUAAAAAUCACUUAGUAAAAGAUAUUUAUCACACAUCAAACAUUCAUAUUCCUCUAUUAAACAUCAAAAUACAACCAUGUUACACAUGGGUCAAAUUUCAUACAUGAACCCUAGCUCAAAAUAAUAGUAGAAAUAGCUAGAUCGGUUGAUGACAACUUAAAAAAUGUAAAGAACAUUAAAAACAGGGCUAAGGAGCACUUACAAUCAAGCUUGAAAAGAUGAAUAAACCCUAGCUAUGGUGACCCUUGGAAUUUCGGCACAAGCAAGAAGAAGAUGGACAAAUUUUGCUUUCUUUUUCCCUUUUUAUUCUUUUAUUUACCAAAAAACAAAAAUGCCCUUAUUCUUUCAAAUUUUUCCUAUUCAUGCCCAUUUUUGUCCAAAAUUUUAGAACUUGGUGAAAUUUCCAUUUAAGAACCUCUAAUUAAUAAUCCAAUACAAUUUCAUACUUAAAGCUUCUAGAACACAAUUUUUACAACUUAUUCAAUUUGGUCUCUAAAGUCAAAUUGGACAUCUUAGGCAUAGAAUUUCUUCAAGAAAAUUUCACACAAACAUGCAAUCAUGUCCUGGACCAUAAAAUAAUCACAAAAUAAUUAUUUUUAUUUCGAAUUUGUGGUCUCAAAACUAUUGUUCUGACUAGACCCUAAUUCGGCAUGUUUCAAUUCUUAGUUUCAACAGACGUUUGGGGAAAUGAUCAAUUUUUUUAUGCUGAGUUAUGGGGCAUUUUUAUUAGAUUAUCAAUUCUGCAUGGAGAACGAUGUGAUAGAGUCUUGCUACAAAUGGAUAGUUUGGAGGUAUUUGAAGCUAUUCAGAUAUCCAACUUGAAGUCUUCAAGAUCGUAUUAAUCAGACGCAUUCAUCAACUUUAAGCGAUCGUUAAGAAUUAGAGACUAGAAUAUAUUCUUAGAGAAGAUAAGAAUGACUAAAAUGGCGUUGGAUAGGGAAGAAAGUACUUUUGAUGUUUUAGGUUAAUUGAUUGUAAUAAUGCUGUUUUAAAAAAAAAAAAAGUCAAAUUCAAUAAAAAAACGGAACGAGGAUCAAACGGAACACUUAGAGAUUUUCUGUCAACCCCUACCAUAAAUAAAGCACAAGACAAACGCUUCCACUCUUCAAAAUUUUAAUAUUUAUUUUCUUUUACAAACAUUUUACUUCAUAUUCCGGGUAAAUAAAUAAACCACUAUAAAUAGAGCGCAAAUCUGUAGCGGAAGUUAUAAACUGCUUGAUACAUUUAUCUAUUUUUCAUCACAAAUAAACAGUGAUUAUCAACUUAUCUGGUUAGUGAAUUCAAUCUCCUUUUUAGUCCUUCCCAGUAAGUGUUUUGUUUUUUCUUUAAUAAAGAAAGUAUCAUUAAAGAUAAAUGGAUUCUUGUUAUUUUCUCUUUCCGAAUUUUGCUCUUUAGCAUUCCUUUUAAUCUUCUGUUUAUGCGUUGUUCCUGAUUCAAAUCAAAUCUCGAGACUCAAUUUUCUCGGAAAUUAAUGAUUUAUUUCUUUUUCUUUUUUAAGGAAGAAGAUAUGGGAAGUGAGUCUUACGAGGAGGCGAUUGCAGCUUUGUCGAAGCUUCUCAGGUAAUGUUACGGUCCGUCCUUUGUUUAAACGAUUCUUAUUUCUGGUCUCGAACCGGAAGAAAAAACAAAACCGAAGAUUUCAUUUUCUGGCACCUAUACUGAUCAGAACAUUAAAAUCUGUAAUGAUGGCUUACCGUCGUCGGUUGCAGUGAGAAAGCUGAUCUCGUAAGUGUUGCCGCUGAAAAAAUCAAGCAAAUAACAGCCGAGUUAGAGGCAGCUGGCAGUUGCGACGCCGACAACCGGAUCAAAACCGGUUUCCUUCAUUUCAAGUC